AGCAAACAGGACGGGAAGUCAUCGCAGAUUCUGUUACCUGGCAAGCUCAUUUGUGCUCUUCUUUUUUUGUUCAAAUUUUGCAGCCAAAGUCCAGCUGUGGAGCUGUCUCUUAGCAACCAACUGGAGCUAGCUGCUCUUUGGAAAUUCCCUGUGAACUAGCAUAUGGCGUUUUCUGAUCCGACCUCUGCCAAGAAAAGAUAACACACAGACAUCUAAGAGAGAUGAGAGGAGGGGGAAACUCAUAAAUGCCUUCUGCCCUCUGCCCUCUUUCCGCCCCAAAAUGCACACACUUACACGUUAUCCCAGAACUCCCAGCAAAGAAGGAUAAGCUUUUGCAAGCACAAAGUCUCCGGUUGUCAUUCCAGGGCUGCUGUGCCAUAGCUACAUUUAGAAAGUUGCAGGAGAAAAUAAACUGAUUAACAAGCAGCGAAACCUGCAAAUUAUGCCUCACUUAGGCUUAGAUUCAAGAAAACCCAGACCAAGCUUGGGAUUCUAAGAGUCUCUCCGUGCAAGCUGACCUCAUGGAGAAAGUGGCAGAGCUUGUCCCUUCCACUGGGAGACCCUGGAGUUCAUUCAGGAGACUGGAUGCCCCUGGGCUCGGGCUGCACUGUGGACCCCACUGUGGAAUCACCACUCCCAGGCUGACCUCAGGCAGGUUCCAGAUCUGUUCUCCACUUCUGCAACAAAACUUACCCGGGCCAUGGUUUUAUGCAGAAAUCUGACAAGGCAGGUCCAUCAAGAGGUUUCCAGAAGAAGGCAUCGCUAUCACAGGAGAUGGCAGCUCCAUGCCUGUUACUGCCCCUGAAGAUGUUCCAGUGGGACAGGGUGUGGAGGUGGAAGACAGCAACAGUGACGAUCCUGACCCUAAAUUGACCAGAUUGCUUUGAGGAACUAAGAAGCUGUUAAACCUUUGGAAGAACUGGCCUGAUACGUUGUCUACAUGGUUCUCCUACAAGGUGUAUGAGUCCAUUUUUAUGCUGCUGAUAAAGACAUACCUGCAACUAAGAGGAAAAAGUUGUUUAACUGGACUUACAGUUCCACAUGGCUGGGAAGGCCUCAGAAUCAUGGCAGGAGGCGAAAGGCACUUCUUACAUGGUGGCACCAAGGGAAAAUGAGGAUGAUGAAAAAGUGAAAACCCCUGAAAAAAUCAGAUUUUGUGAGACUUAUUCACUACCACGAGAACAGUCUGGGGGAAACCGCUCCCAUGAUUCAAAUUAUCUCCCACCCGGUCCCUGCCCCCGCAACCCCCCCACAACAUAUGAGAAUUACGGGAGUACAAUUCAAGAAGAUUUAGGUGGGGACACAAAGCCAAACCAUAUUACAAGGUUUAUAGCCUUGCAGUAAGUAAAGAAUACCAUUUUCUGACAAGCCCAGGAACUUCAGGAUAUUUUGGGGACCUCAAAAAAGAGGGAUUUACCCAAUUCAUACAAGUAUUACAGGCAAAAUCUGAUGGUGAAUUGCUGGCCUGGCUUCCAAUCUUAAGAGGCUUUUAAAGAUUGAACCUGAAAUUCCUUAUAAAAAAAGUUUCAGUCAAGUCAAUUUAAAAAGUGCUCAGAUGGCCAAGUACAAUUCUGGCUGUACUUUAGUCAAAUACUCAGGCCAAGUAUAACAAGUCUAAGACUUUAUUUUGCAAAUAAAUUGGUCCUACUGUAAACCAAAAAGUGUCUGAGACAAGUUUCAGUCCAUUUAGAAAGUUUAUUUUGCCAAGGUUAAGGACAUACCAGUGACACAGCCUCGGGAGAUCUUGACAACAUGUGCCUAAGGUGGUUGGGGCACAGCUUGGUUUUCUACAUUUUAGGGAGACAUGAGACUCAAUCAUUAUAUGCACGAUGUACAUUGGUUUGGUCCAGAAAAGAGGGACAACUUAAAACCAAAAGAGGGCUUCCAGGUCAGAGGUAGAUAAGAGACAAAUGGUUGCAUUCUUUUGAGUUUCUGAUUAGGCUUUCACUGAAUACACAAUUUACAGAAAUAGUCGCUUAUGCCUUAGUCUGGCUUAGUAAAGCAACAGAACAAAGGAAGCACUCAGAUGCGCGUGUCCCAUGUGAGCAGAGGGAUAACUUUGACAUCUGUUUGUGCUUUGUCUAAAGGAAUUUUUCUUCGUGGGAAAAUUGUAAGGGAGGCUUUCAGACAAAUUUUUCUCCUAUUUUUUAAGCUCACUGAAAUUGAUAAUACCUUUUUACCGAGGCCUUGCAAGCUGAAGUUUAUGCAUAAAUAACCUUGUGACAUACAAAUUACAGAUCACAAAAUCUGUCAGAUCGCCAAUGCCUCCUUCCACAGUAACUAAAGAUGCCUCUAGUUGAACAGCUGGAUACCUCAACUGACUGCUCUCCAGACUCUAAAGAAAUCCGUUUAUAGACUGCUCCAAAUAUUAACCUUUGUUUUUCUGCUGUUUGGGAGCCCAUCUGCAACGCCAUUUCCUGAAAUGAGACACAGCUGUUUAAUUGGACUGGUCUACUCGUAGAAAUAGAACACCAGUUUAAUGAUAAUUUUUGCUACUCAGCUAUUAACUCAAAUAUUAUCUUCACACCCAACAACUUAGAUUUUAGUGUGUGAAACUUUGAGGGACAUUUUAGACAGAGGACUUUUGGGGUGCAGAAGUGGUUCCCUGAUAUAUGACACCUGGGCAUGGUGAGUGCUUUUAAACAUUAAAAGACCUCAUAAAUAAGCCUCAGAAUCAUGGUCCCCCUAAAACUGUCUUGGGGCAGGAAGGGACUCUCUCUCUGUAAUUUCCUUAUCUGACUAAGAAAUCUUCUUCCCAAAAAACCACAAUUGCCAUCUAGCCCAUUCCUGAAAUCUCAUUUCAGACAGAAAUGUUACCAUAUCUGGAUGGUCUCUUUCACAAGAUAAUGCCUGCCUCUUGGGGUCAUUCAAAUUCCAAAAAGUAUUAUUUACAAGUUAAUUUCUGUCUCUAAAUUCCACACCUUUUCUUCCUAAUAAUCAUUUACUGCUCCUGAAUAGCAUUGUCUGCAUUCCUCAUCUCCUCCCUCCUUUGUGAAAAAGGGUUUAUAAGCCUCUGUCCCCACUGGGGGUUAGGGUAAUCACUCUGUGAUUCUCUCCAGUGCAUGUUAAAAAUGUGUAUACCUCUUCUCCAAUUAAUCUGUCUUCUGCCAGUCAAUUUUCAGCAAACCUUCAGAGGGCAAAGUAGAUGUUUCCCUUGGCCCCUGUACCCCUUAGGAGCCCUGAAACACUUAUUUUUCCAUAUUAUGCUCUUUAUAUUAAUUUGCUAAUUUACUGAACACAUAUUUUUCAAGCAACUCCUCAUUUGCUGGGCACCUUUCUGGGUGCUGGGACAUAAAGAGACGUGGAGAGAGUUGCCUUGUGAUACAGGAGGUAGAAAGAAAUUAUUUAGGCAGAUAGUGAGGGUAAAAGAGUCUUUGACAGAGCUUCCCUUUUAACAAAAAGCAGCCCAAGAAAUUAUUUUUUUUUCUAACAAAGGGCAGCCUGAAAAGUUGAGCUGCAAACAUAGACAAGCAAGCUGGAAGCUUGCAUGGGAAAUGCCAGCAGCUGUGCCAAUAGAAAAUGGCUACCUGGGGGUCAGGCACGUCCAACGUUGAGGCUCCAUCUUCCCUUUUUUUGUCACUGUGUGUACAGUAAAGGAAUGGGCAACAUGGUGCUGCCACAGCAGAGGACCUGCCUGCUUAAUGAGUGAUUAGGAUGGGGGUGGCCAAAAAUUCGCACCCUAUGCAAAUGGCACACCUAGUCCUAACCAGUUUUUCACACCCCAUGCAAAUGGCACACCUGGUCCAGCCAAUCUUUUGUGCUCUAUGUAAGUCAAAUACCACCCCCUCACCAGACAUCUAUAAAACCUCCUACAUUUCACCACGGCUCCAGCAGCUCAUUUCUUCGGGACCCUUCUCUGCUGCAGGGAGCCGUCCUCCUCCUUUCACCUGUUAAACAUCCACUCUCAACCUCACUCUUCGUGUGUCUGUACCCUUUAGUUUCUCAGCCAUGAGACAGUGAUUUCCAGGGUAUCGCCCCAGACAAUGAGGCCGUUUCACUUGCACACUCACUUGCACACUCGAUUUGUCCCACUCUAGGCCCCCUACUAGGUACCUUGGGUAAGUAAUACAGCAUAUUUUUAUCCUAUGUUUUCUUAAAAUAAGUAAUGGGGAUACUAGAAGCUACAAUCUCAGUCAUGCCAACAAUUAUGGAAUCCAUGGGAAGCACUUGUUACGGACUUAGACCUGGUGAGCGUCUGUAUUUUUUCUGUGGCUGUUGUAACAAAUUACUACCAACGUGGUGGUUUAAAACAAUUCCCACAGUAGAGCUGGCCUGAGUUCCAAGCACCUUCACGGGGCUAAAAUUGAGGUAUUUGGGGAGAGCUGCACUCCUUCUGGAGGCUUUGGGGAGCACCGGCCCUUGGCUCUCCUGACUUCAGGUGGCUGCCAGCACUCGGCUGCAGCUGCCUCACUGCAAUCUGUGCCUCUGUAGUCGUGCCGGGGCCAAGGCAACACGUCCCCUUCACCCUCUGAAGGCUUGCUGGUAAAUAAACUGACAAAAGGCAGAUUAAUUGGAGGAAAGGCAUGAACAUUUAUUAAUAGGUGCUUGGGGGAGAGCCACAGAGUGAUUGUCCCAUAUUCAAUGGGGCCCAGAUACUUGUAUAGCCCUAUUUCAGAGGGGAAGAGGAGAUGGGAAUGUAGGUAAUUACAGGGUGAUACAUGAUUAAAGAAGAGAAUAAAUAGAUCAGGGAACAGGGAUUCACUUGUAAAUGAUGCUCUUUGAAAAUUGACUGAGACUGAGAGACAGACAUUAUCUUGUGAAAGUCUGUCCUGGAGUGGUUACACUCUUGGUCCUGUUUUCUGUAAUAGAUAAUGAGCUAACAGAGAGAGGAAGGAAAGACAGUUGUUCUCCUUGGAUACUCCCUCUGGUCUCUAUGUAGACAGAGAAAAUUCUCCUCCAGCCUCUGUUGAUCUCUGAAGGUCUUUAAUUAAAAAUGCACAUUACAUCAGGGACCACUAUUUUGGGGUGAAGUUCUCUGCACUCCUUCAGUUUCACAUCUUCUGCCAGUUAAGCCACCCUCUGUCUCUCUCUUACAGUAGCACUUGUGAUUCCAUUUAAGGUACACCUCGAUAAUCAGAGCUAUUGCUCCACCACAGAAUCCUUAAACACAUUCCCAAAGACCCUUUCUCUACAUCGGGGAACAACUACACAUUCCAGAGAUUAGGACCUGAUACCUGUGUAAGCUAUUAUUUAGCUCACCACUACAUUUGAUAUAUACCUGUCCCUGGCCCCCAAUCAUUAGAUUAUAAAGAAGGGCUGUCCAAUUGUCAUCUGUCUUCACUGUGGUGCCAACCCUGGAGCUCCCUUGUUAAUACCUAUAUAAUCCUGAGCCCCAACAUGGUUUCAUCUACGCAGAGUAGGGCAGACCUCACCACGUGGGCCAUGGGGCAUUGACCUACUCUGUUUAUCGGUGAUCAGUUCUCUUCCCAUGAUCUGGCCUAAAGUUUCUGGAAAACAGUUUCUAUGCAUAAUUAUCCCAGGUGGAUAUUCCAGAGCUAUAAAAUGCAGAGAUCCUGUCCUGGCCCUGUGUCUAAGCUAGAGAAACAUUUAUUUCAGGUUAUUCUGAGGCUUGAUGGGAAUGACCCUGGUUCCUGGUCUAACCUAAUAGUAAACAUGUUCCCACAGCCAGGUUCUGAGUACUCCAUGGGGCCUGAGCUAACCUCAGUUUUGGGGGACUGUUCUACUUUGUGAAUCACUUUACCAGGCACACAGGCUCUGAAGUUCUUUUCUUCCCUCUUCUUUCCCUCUCUUCCUCAUUCUCCCUCUCCUCUCUCACUCCAUUGAUCUUUUUCUAUUCCUCAACUCCCCAUUUGCUGUCAUCUACUUUGAUUUCCUCAUUCUCCCUCAUGUCUAUAUAUCCAUAUACAGCUUAACUCCCCCCCUCCAUCUCAUCUGAUUCCUCUGUUGAUGAAAAAGCCAAACUCUGAAAAAUAUUUAGAGAUUUAUUCUUAACCAAUAUGAGUGACCAUGGUCAAGGGAACAGUCUUAGAAGGUCUGGAGAAAGUGAGGUGGUUGGAUUACAGCUUGGUUUAUACUUUUUGUGGAGACAAAAGUUACAGACAAAGACAUAAAUCAAUACAUGUGUCAGAGGUGUUUGAACCAGAGAGACUCCAUCUGAAUAGGGGCAUGGUAAAAUAAGAGUGAGACCUACUGGGCUGCAUUCCCAGGAGGUUAGGUAUUCUUAACUUCACAAGAUGAGAUAGGAGGUUGGCCGGAGAUGCAGGUCAUACAGACCUUGCUGAUAACACAGGUUGCAGUAAAGAAGCUGGUGAAAACCCCCGAAAACCAAGAUGGCAACGAGAGUGAUCUCUGGUCUUCACUGCUACACUCCCACUAGCACCAGGACAGUUUACAAAUGCCAUGGCAAUAUCAGGAAGUUACCCUAUAUGGCCUAAAAUGGGAGUCACGAAUAAUCCACCCCUUGUUUAAUAUAUCAUCAAGAAAUAACCAUAAAAAUGGGCAACCAGCAGCCCUCGAAGCUGCUCUGCCUAUGAUGUAGCUAUUCUUUAUUCCUUUGCUUUCACUUUACUGUAUGGACGCACCCCGAAUUCUUUCUUGCACAACAUCCAAGAACCCUCCCUUGGAGUCUGGACCCUGACCUCUUUCCAGUAACACAUGUAAGGUAUACAUUGGUAGGCCCAAAGAUGUGAAAUAUUUCAAAGUGGGGACUUACAGGUAAUAGGUGAAUUCAAGGAUUUUCUGAUCAGCAUUUGGUUGAAAGAAUUUAGCUUUGUCUAAAGACAGUAGAAAGACAUGCUUGAGUUAAGAAAAGGAAGGUUGUGGAAGCCAAGGUUCUUGUUAUGUAGAUGAAGCCUCUAGGUAGUAUUCUUCUGAGAGAAUAGAUGGUCAAUGUCUCUUUUCAGAUUUUAAAUACAGUCCAACUCAAUUAAAUCUCCUCUAGACGUGGCAAAGACCUAGAAAGGGAAAGAGAUUCUAAAGAUGCAAAACUUUACCCCACAAAAGGCUUUGCAGGGCCAUUUCAAAAUAUAUCAGAUAAAUAUAUUUUGAAGUAAAGUGUGUCAGUUUCUUUCAGGGUCUGCUGUCGUGUGAUGCUAUACCAGAGUCAAGUUGGAAUUUGGCAUCUUACUGCCAAAGGGUCUGUUUCAUCCAUAUAAGGAUGUCUAUUUUAAUGUUAAUGCUGGUAAGUUUUGCCUAAACUCCAAAAAAAGAGGGGGUAUAAUGAGGCAUGUCUGACCUGUCUUCCUUCAUGGCCUGGAAUUCAGUUUUUUCGGUUUCUUUGUAAUUCCCUUGGCCCAGAGGGUGGACCCAUUCAUUCGGUCUGAUGGAGGGCUUAGAGAUUUUAUUUUUGGUUUACACCUCAGACUCGAUUCAAGUCAGCAAAUACUUUUAGCACAAAGUAUAUGCCAGAUAUUGUUUAAAGUGGGAUAAAGAACAGAUGGUAUGCCUGGCAUGGUCCUGAUCUGGAAGGACCUAACCUCUUCCUGCCUCUUCCUGGAACCUGUCUUUGCUUUUCAAAUGCCUGCCAGUCUCUGCCUAUCCUUUCCACUCUGUGUCCUGAUUUCUUGUGUUCUCCUCUCACUUUCUCUUGUGUUCUCUGUCCUCUCUCUUCCUUUUGUUCUAAAAUGGCAUCAAAAUCUUAUAAUAAAAAUCUAUCUCCCAUGUUACUUGAAUGACUCUCUACCAAUCUCAUUAUGUUUGUUAUAGAUGAAUAUAAUAUGAGUGAUUUUAAAAAUAUUAUUUUAUUAAAUAAAUUAUGAAAAAUACACAGCAAGGCCUGGGAUUGACAUGCUCAUUUUCAGCCUCAAUAUUAAAUCUCUAGACUGCACAAAUGAUUACACAUUGAACUAAAUGUAUGGUUUUAUCUUUUGUGCCUAUAAAGAAAAGUCUUUCAUAUUAUACAAUUUGUACCACUUUCUCUUUUUUUUGCACAUACACUUCUCCAGCUCCAUUGCCAAACCUCAGCUGUCAAUUCUGUUUAGUCCCGUUGAUGAAAAGAACCAAAUUCUAAAAUAUUUGAAGAGAUUCUUUCUGAACCAUAUAGGAGUGACCAUGGCCCAUGACACAGCCCUCAGGAGAUCUUGAGAACAUGUGCUCAAGGUGGUAGGGGUGUGGCUUGGUUUUAUGCAUUUUAGGGAGACAUGAGACUUCAAUCACAC
rnacentral:lncRNA from 1 species